UUGGUGCUUGCACCAGAUGACGAGUGGCGCACGGGUGCGUAACGCGUAUGCAAUCUACCUUUUACUAGAGUAUAGCCCAGAGAAAUUUGGAUUAAUCCUCUAUAAUAUCUUUAAGUUUCAUGACUUUUAGAUUAAAGUUUUAACGGUAAAAGAUGAGCAUGCGUCCUAUUAGUUUGUAGGUGAGGUAACGGCUCACCUAGACUACGAUAGGUAGGGGCCCUGAGAGGGGGAUCCCCCACACUGGUACUGAGACACGGACCAGACUCCUACGGGAGGCAGCAGUAAGGAAUAUUGGACAAUGGACGAAAGUCUGAUCCAGCCAUGCCGCGUGCAGGAUGAAAGCCCUAUGGGUUGUAAACUGCUUUUAUACAGGAAGAAAC
rnacentral:rRNA from 1 species